UACAAGAGUUAUAUCACUUAAUUGUAAUGUGAUAAACCAAACUUUAGAUUUAUCAAUUAUGGAUAGAUCUUACAUGUAGGACAUAAAAGGAUACAAUGAAUCUUUAGAUUUGGUUCCAUUUGUCCACUUAUGAGUUCUAUAUGAAUUGACAAAAGUCUAGAGAAUCCUUUCUUGAAGAAAAGGAAGAUCACAUUACAAUGAUAUAAGUAAUAAGAAAAACGUUUCUUAUAUGGUUAUCACUUGAAACACAAUGAUCAAGAUUACUCUUGAUUCAAUUAGUAGUUUUGAACAAUUAAUUGGGCAUUCUUAAAAUUGUUUUAAAAUGUCAAUGGUGUUAGUGAUUAAACCAAGAAAGAAGUGUCUAAAUCUAUAAAAGGUUUAAAGAAUUUAGUCACUUAAAUAACAAGACAUUAAACUUAGUGAAGAUUGAAACAAAUAAGCUUGAAAUGUUUCAAAGCUACUACACAAUGUCUUCUACCAAUAUAAUCCAAUUUUAUACAUUUUGAAUGUAUGAAAUGAUUUCUCAUUAAAGUCAUGAAAAAUAGUGGGAGGCGUGAAAAUGGAUAUAAACUUGAAUGUGAUUGGUUUAUAGUUGUCUAAAGAAUAAUAGUACUUGACUAUUAUUAAGAGUUUAUAAUUUUAAUUGUUAAAAGGACUCAAGCUCUUCAAACGUUAAAAUUCUAUGUUGUGAAACAUUUAAAGAAUAGUCUUUGAAUGUUGGUUUCGUCAACCUAGCAUAAAAUGAUUAUAUGUUGGGAGUUGUCCAUCAUUCUCUUUUAUGAGAACAUGCUAAUGACAAAGCAUAUGGACAAGUUGAUGAAACAAAAGGGAAUAAGUUUCAAAAUGAGUCACAACAUAUGGUUUAACAACAAGACAAUCCAAAUUCAACAUCUCAUGUAACGAUAUUGCUCUAUGUAGUUUUGAUAGAGAAUUAUAUCAACCACCUAGAAGGAAUGGUUGAGUAUCUAUAUCCUUAGUAGGAGCCAUACUUCCACUAAGGAAUUAGAUAAUUCUUAUAUGACUACAUUAAAGGUCUUAGUAUGACUAAAACUUUUAGUAUGGUGUAUGACAUCGUAUAAUUAAAUGAAUAGACUUGAUAAAACAAGUCACAUAUUCAAAAGGAAUUACUUUAGAAGGAAUUCUUUUGUAUGUGAUUCAUUUAAAAUAACUUGUGUUAGCUAGGGUUGUUGAUGGUCUCAAAAUUGUUGAGAACAUCAUCAAUAAGCUAAUGGAUCUCAAUAAUUCUCAAUGGAUCCAAGACAAGUUAGUGGGAGCAACACGCAUUCAAAUCAAGAAAAUAUAAGUGUUAUUUUUGAAUGAAUGCUAAGUUACAACAAGGCCAGUGGGAGUGAUGUCAUAAUUUGAGCAACAAGGUGUGAAUAAAGUCUAUUUAAUAGACUUGAUGAAACAUAGAUGUUACUCGAAAAUGACAAAACAUGACACAGUCAAUUUUGAAGUAUAGACUUGAAAUUGGACUUACUGAUAUAGCAAGGCUAUCUCAAUAAUGUUAUAUGGGAAUUAAAUCUCAAAUGUUGAAGAUUUAAGAAAGCAUUUUCCUAUGUGAUAGGAAAUCACUUUUAUAACCCUUAUAAUGAAUGUGUCAUAAAAUCACAAAAGGGACACAUGUAUUGACUUGUGAAGUAGAUAUCCAAAGGUGAAGAAACCACUGAGUUUAUCACUUUAAGAUAUUACUAUAUCCCAGGAUCAGAACCAAAGCAACUGAUAGAGUAUUAUUGCCUUUUAAGAAAGAAACAUCAGAGUGGGACUCUGGAAGCGUGCAUUCACUUAGGUUGUUAACCAAAGUGAAAAAUAAGCCAUUUUAACGAAUGGAACUUCAUGUUGGAUGAAGUACUAAUCAUAUGAAUGAAUUGUUAGUAUUGUACUACAAUGGUCUCAAGAUUGAAGCAAAGUUUGUAUAAAGUAUACAAACGAAAUAUAUGUAGAUAUAUAUGUUUUAGAAACUGCUUCAAAAGGUGUUUUGAAUGAAAGGGGUUCUUUUAAGAACCCAUGAUUGAAUCCAAACCAUAAGGUCGUUAGUAGAGUACUACGACGUAAUGGGGCGAUAGCUCAAGCCAUGGAAUCAAGGUCUCAUCAAAGUAUUCGAACACAUUAAAGAGACAUCAUCAAAUGUCUUGGAAACAUUUGAUAAGUAAAUCCCUUUUAAUAAAAGAGAUUAAUACAUAACCAAGCUAACCUACGAGCAUAAACUCUCUCGACAAGAUGUAUGAGAUACACUAGUGAUUGACUUUAGUGCAAGUGGGAGAUUGUUGGAAAUAUGCCCUGAAAGUCAAUCUUUGG
rnacentral:lncRNA from 1 species